rnacentral:lncRNA from 1 species
AUUUGCUUUUCUUUUCUUUUUUUUUUUCUUUUUUGAGUCACUAGAUGGACCAUCAUGGAAAUGGUAUCUUCCAUCUCUCUCUACCUGAGCAAACAACCUCCUUUCAAGAUGAAUUCUCCAGAAAGCAGAUAACUGAAUUACUUGAGUGCUGAUCCACUUCAAAGGGUCUCUUUAUAGGAGGCAUAAUCAGAUUCUGAUGCUUUGAUCAGGGGAAUCUAUGAACCUGCUUACUCGAUCACAAACUCCUCUAUUUGCCAUGAAGAGAUAAGUCAUCAAUUACAGAACUCACACCUGCUCUGAGUAACGUUAUUGAUGGCUUGAGAGAAGGAAUGCAUAAUUUAAAUGCCUUGGGAAAGCUGGCAGCAGCUUGAGGAUAAAGGAAUUCAAAUGAGACAGAGGGUGGCCAGCCUAGAGAUUCCUGCAGGUUACUUUUUUGAGCAUCUUACAGCAUCUUCGGAUCAGCCAACAAAGAAAUUUCUUUUGGACACAGCAUGUGGUCAAAUGAAGAUUCUGUUCAAAGUGACACGAAAUCAGAAAUAUUGGCUAUAUAACAGUAAAAGAAAGCCUUAAAAUAGCAAAAAGAUGUCAAGCAAAAGAAAACAGCACCUUGCUCACAUCAGGUGAUACACUGGAGAGUUCAAAAACAUCUGAACAAAACAAAAGAGGAAAAGAAGAAGCACACAAUACUUUAAAACUGGCAAAUGUAAUAAACUACAAGAAAU